AUGGUUUUUUUUAAUCAGGUACAGAAUGAAUAUUAUGGUGUGAUGCUUGUCAUUGGCAUGGCAUGUGCUGUAGCAGCUUUGAUUGGCCUGAAUGGGCAGGAUCUGAUUCUUUCCCCUUCAGAAUCUGGAUCAUCCCAAGCAGCACGGAAUGUGUCAAGAUCAAAAGAGCAUCACCAAUUAACCUGUUGCCUUCCAUCAGGACUCCAGUUCCCACCAGCAGCUCCCCAACCAGUGGCCAAUGGUAAGCAAAGCAAAGACACCAGGCUUAUAAGAACUUCUGCUGUGGCUACCACUCAGGAGGACUCCCCUGCUCAGCGCCUGAGGGCCCCAGUCCUGCCACUCACCACCUGGCCCAGGGCGGGGCCUGGUGGACUCUAUAAAGGACUGCUGCCGCUGCUGCUGCUAGGCAGAGAGGGCUGCAUUUUGUUUUGUUUUUGUUUAAAUUGCUGUUAUUUUUUAUCUAUGUCAUUUUAACCGUGAUAUUAAUGCUGUAUUCUUAGUUUUAGAUUUUGAUUUAUGUGGAAAUUGUUUCCCAGUUGGUUGUGUAUUUUUUUGAUGUGGUUUAUUUAUUGUUUAUGACUUUUGUAAUUAUGUAAAUCUUGUUAUGCUGUAAGCCGCCUUGAGCAUUGUUUUUUUUAACUGUGGAAAGGCGGCAUACAAAUGAAAAAUGAUGAUGAUGAUGGGGCUCAGCACCAUUUCUGUCUUCUCUGAGCUUCUGCGACACACAUAAAUAGAUGAAUCUGGCAGGUUUGCUCCAAGGAUAUCUGAGAUGAGGGGUACACUUUGAGCAAAUCAUAGAAUUGUAGAGUUGAAAGGGACCCUGAGGGUCAUCUAGCACAACCCCUUGCAAUGCAGAAAUCCCAACUAAAGCAUCCACGACAGAUGCUAAAAAACCAGGGAAGAGUGUACUUAAUUUCAAAAGGAACAAUGUACUGCAUUAGUAUCUUCUGCCCGCAUUGAGCUCUUUCUUCAAACAACUUAGGAAGCUGCCUUAAAGGCAAAGGGAAAGUGACCCCUGACCAUUAGGUCCAGUCGCGGAGGACUCUGGGGUUGCGGCACUCAUCUCACUUUACUGGCCGAGGGAGCUGGCAUACAGCUUCCAGGUCAUGUGGCCAGCAUGACUAAGCCACUUCUGGCGAACCAGAGCAGCACACGGAAACGCCAUUUACCUUCCCGCCGGAGCGGUACCUAUUUAUCUACUUGCACUUUGACGUGCUUUCAAACUGCUAGGUUGGCAGGAGCAGGGACCGAACAACGGGAGCUUGCCCCAUCGUGGGGAUUUGAACCGCCGACCUUCUGAUCGGCAAGCCCUAGGCUCUGUGGUUUAACCCACAGCACCACCCGCGUCCCUAGGAAGCUGCCUUAUGCAGAGUCAAAACAUGGGUUCAUCCAGCUCAACACUGUCUGCAGGCUUUCUAUCAGGGGACAUUCCCAGCGUUACACAGAAAUGCAAGGGAUUAAACUUGGAGACCGGGUACUCUACCACUGAACUACAGCCCUUCCCCGCUCAGAAACACCACUGGGAUGUUAGUGAAUUCAGCAUGCGGAAGCUUCAGAUAAACAAUGAAU
ensembl:lncRNA